rnacentral:rRNA from 1 species
AUUGAACGCUGGCGGCAUGCCUAAUACAUGCAAGUCGAACGGCAGCACAGCAGAGCUUGCUCUGUGGGUGGCGAGUGGCGGACGGGUGAGGAAUACAUGGGAAUCUGCCCAGUCGUGGGGGAUAACGUAUGGAAACGUACGCUAAUACCGCAUGCGCCCUAAGGGGGAAAGCCGGGGACCGCAAGGCCUGGCGCGAUUGGAUGAGCCCAUGUUCGAUUAGCUAGUUGGCGGGGUAAAGGCCCACCAAGGCGACGAUCGAUAGCUGGUCUGAGAGGAUGAUCAGCCACACUGGAACUGAGACACGGUCCAGACUCCUACGGGAGGCAGCAGUAGGGAAUAUUGGACAAUGGGGGCAACCCUGAUCCAGCCAUGCCGCGUGAGUGAAGAAGGCCCUCGGGUUGUAAAGCUCUUUUGUCCGGAAAGAAAAGCAAUCGGUUAAUACCCGGUUGUUCUGACGGUACCGGAAGAAUAAGCACCGGCUAACUUCGUGCC